rnacentral:ncRNA from 20 species
UGGACAUGCGACUGGCGAGGCCGGAUAACCGGCGAGGAGCGAAUUUCACGACAUCGACCGCCUGGGUGUCCACU